rnacentral:RNase_P_RNA from 2 species
UCAGACGGUCGGACGGCCGCCGGUCCCGGCCCUUCGGGGAUCGGGAUGGGAGGAAAGUCCGGGCUCCACGGGAAUACGGUGCCGGGUAACACCCGGCGGGGGCGACCCCAGGGACAGUGCCACAGAAAGCAAACCGCCCGUUCCAGCCGGAUUUCGGUCCGGACCAGACGGGUAAGGGUGAAAGGGUGCGGUAAGAGCGCACCGCGUCUCCGGUAACGGCGACGGCAAGGUAAACCCCACCGGGAGCAAGACCGAAUAGGGAUGGCCGGUCGCGGCUUCGGCAACGAGGUCGGCGGCGGAUGCAUUCCCGCAUCGCUGUCCGGGUAGGUCGCGCGAGGCGGUCGGUAACGAUCGUCCCAGAUGAAUGGUCGUCACCCGCCGACCGGUCUCGUCCUUCGGGAUCGGGAAACCACGGCGGGAUACAGAACCCGGCUUACAGACCGUCUGAUCCG